rnacentral:rRNA from 1 species
UACGUAGGGUGCAGGCGUUAAUCGGAAUUACUGGGCGUAAAGCGUGCGUAGGCGGUUUGUUAAGACAGGUGUGAAAUCCCCGGGCUUAACCUGGGAACUGCAUUUGUGACUGCAUUGCUGGAGUGCGGCAGAGGGGGAUGGAAUUCCGCGCGUAGCAGUGAAAUGCGUAGAUAUGCGGAGGAACACCGAUGGCGAAGGCAAUCCCCUGGGCCUGCACUGACGCUCAUGCACGAAAGCGUGGGGAGCAAACAGG